rnacentral:tRNA from 1 species
UCCUUCAUAGCUCAGUUGGUUAGAGUGUCGCACCAGCAUCGCGAGGUCACGGGUUCAAACCCCGUUGAAGUCCUGAC